ACAGAAUCCUUUAUUUUCCUGACGGAUUCUUUUUUAAUCGUAUAAUUUAUUUGUAUGUUAAGUAUUUUUACCGGGGAAUUUAGUCUUUACUGGGUAAAACUACGGGUGUUUUUUUAGUGAUAAACUUGAAAUUAUGAGUUUAGUAGUACUCUAAUUAAAACAUGGCUCGGUCCCUCAAUGCGUGUUCUGCUGUAUACAAAACUUUUAUUAGGCUGAGCCACUAUGUUUUUGAACUUUGUCACUUGCUUUUCUCGUUUAUGUUUGCAAUCAUGGUUGAUGAUUACAUUGAUAAGCAUAAGGUCUCAAGCGAAGGGGGUCUGCCUGGGUAUUUUCAUUGACCCUAAGCACGCUUAUAAAAUAACUUUGUUUGUAAUCGAUAGUGGACAGCGGGUAAGUUUGGAAAAUGAGGUAAGUAAUGAGUUUUUGCCUUUUGUUAGUGAUUUGUAAUGUUGUAGAUGUAUUUUAGUCUAUUUGGGUUUUAAAAGGCCAGUUUACUGACAGGUGUUUGGAAUAAAUAAAAUAUGCUUGAGUGUACAAAUACAGUAUGCCAAGUUAUCGUUUUAAUAGAUUGUUUUUUUAAGUGUUUCGUAAGCUACUUUGAGAAUUUAUUUGUCUUUUCAGAAAUGUCAGAAUCUUAAAAGUAGCUAUACAGGCAAAGAAAUCUCUGAAUUAUAACUGUUUUCUGAACUGUUGGGAGAACAUCAUGCAUGGAGAGAAACUUCAUGGAACUAUGGAAAACUUUAGAAACUGUUCCUUUGGAGAGGAAAAAGAGAGAAAAGGAACAAUUCCGUAAACUCUUUAUUGGUGGCUUGAGCUUUGAAACUACAGAAGAAAGUUUGAGGAACUACUACGAGCAAUGGGGAAAACUUACAGAUUGUGUGGUAAUGAGGGAUCCUGCAAGCAAAAGAUCAAGAGGAUUUGGUUUUGUGACUUUUUCUUCCAUGGCUGAAGUUGAUGCUGCCAUGGCUGCAAGACCUCAUUCAAUUGAUGGGAGAGUGGUUGAGCCAAAACGUGCUGUUGCAAGAGAGGAAUCUGGAAAGCCAGGGGCUCAUGUAACUGUGAAGAAGCUGUUUGUUGGUGGAAUUAAGGAAGAUACUGAGGAACAUCAUCUUAGAGAUUACUUUGAGGAAUAUGGAAAAAUUGAUACCAUUGAGAUUAUUACCGACAGGCAGUCUGGAAAGAAAAGAGGCUUUGGAUUUGUUACUUUUGAUGACCAUGAUCCUGUGGAUAAGAUUGUGUUGCAAAAAUACCAUACUAUCAAUGGUCAUAAUGCAGAAGUAAGAAAGGCUUUGUCUAGACAAGAAAUGCAGGAAGUCCAAAGUUCUAGAAGUGGAAGAGGAGGCAACUUUGGUUUUGGAGAUUCUCGUGGUGGCGGUGGAAAUUUUGGACCAGGACCAGGAAGUAACUUUAGAGGAGGAUCUGAUGGAUAUGGAAGUGGCCGUGGAUUUGGGGAUGGCUAUAAUGGGUAUGGAGGAGGACCUGGAGGUGGCAAUUUUGGAGGUAGCCCUGGUUAUGGAGGAGGAAGAGGAGGAUAUGGUGGUGGAGGACCUGGAUAUGGCAACCAGGGUGGGGGCUACGGAGGUGGUUAUGACAACUAUGGAGGAGGAAAUUACGGGAGUGGAAAUUACAAUGAUUUUGGAAAUUAUAACCAACAACCUUCUAACUAUGGUCCAAUGAAGAGUGGAAAUUUUGGUGGUAGCAGGAACAUGGGGGGACCAUAUGGUGGAGGAAACUAUGGUCCAGGAGGCAGUGGAGGAAGUGGGGGUUAUGGAGGGAGAAGCAGAUACUGAGCUUCUUCCUAUUUGCCAUGGAUCUUUUAGAUGCUGCUGCUUCAAUGCAAGGAAAGGAAAAUAACCCCAGCGAGGUACUCUUCAGGGAUACAGGUCUAGUACAAGAGAACUCUUUGACGGCUACUAAGGUCAGCCAGUCUUAAAAAACUGUGCUGUUUCUACAAAGCUUUAACUACAGUAGUUUUUAAGGAUGCCAACGAAAGCUGAGGGUGUAGAGCAAAAUAGUUCUAAGCUUCAGUUAAACUUCUUUAGCAUUGAUAUGAACCAUGGACAAGUAUAUUCUGCUGCCACAAAGACUGUAAAGUGCUUCAUUUCAACAGCUGAGGCAAGCCAAGUGAUCAUUAAUAAAGCUUUUCUUGGUUCCUUCAGUGGUGUUGGUAGUAAAAUGGAAGGUGUCUUGCUGCAGGUAACUAAUGAAGAAGUGGUCAACCACAGAGUCUUCAAGAAAUAAGAAAUUCUGUACCAUCUGAAAGUAGUUCUUGUUGGUGCCUUCAUUUUAAAAAAGCACUAUUUUAAGAUUAAAGGGAAAUGUUUUCUGAUAAAACAGACUUCAUUUAGUUACAGGGUCUUAAUAUAAAACAAUUACAAAUUGAGUAUUGUUUGUAAAUGAGUAAACAUCAAGUCAGCUAGAGAGAUAAAUGUUAUCAUGUUUUGAAUUAGGUUUUGUGAGUAGACAGAUUAAAAUUCUAUUUUAAAUAUAAAGUUAUAAAAUAAAUACUUUUGUAUUCAAAUACUUGGUGUAAUGUUUACACAUAAAAUGUGAAUCUUGUUCUAUGAACAUUAAGUUGUCUAAAGGAUUGCCAUCCCCUAGAUUUUUAAAGCAGUUUCACAAAGCAAAUGCAUAUUGCCAUUUUCCUUUCAAUAUUGAUAGACAAAUGAGAAAAGCAUUGUGGACAUUACUGGCUGUCCCUAAUAAAAUGCCAUUCUUUAUACACUGUA